GUUUUUCUUGUAUGUGGGGACUUAAGCCAGUUGAAAGAUUUUCUAAAAGCUUUGAGGUAUAAAGAACAUGUGCGUCCAGCACCUCUGCCACUUUUAACAAUUUUGAUAAAUAGUUUUUAUAGAUUUUAUACCAGUUUGCCAUGAAGCAGGUUAAAUUACAAGAUUAGGUCAAUCAGAAUUUCAGAGAAACAGCUAAAAGCACAGGCAGUCAGCCAGCAAGAAAGCAAGCUAAUUAACUUGUUUCUCAUUUCUUCACUUUUGCUACUCACAGACCUGUAAAACAUGUAGGUAGGAGGAUCGGCAUGGGAAAAUAUACUCUACUAUUCUAAAAAGAUCAAGAAAUGAUUACUUUAUAAAGUAUACUAAUAUCUAAGAUGUUAAUUUACUUUUUUCAUUGUGCAGAUGACAAUGGUUAAUAAUUUGUAUUAUGCAAAACUUUAGAAGACUAAGUAGAUUCCAACAUCCGUAAGUAGAAAACAUGAUGCAUUUGAGAAGGCAAAGAGGCUAUUGACUCAGAAAAAAAGUAAAUUAUACAGAAAUGUCCUAUCCAGUGAAUAUUAUCCUAAGAUGCAACCUGUCAGAUGGACAAAGACAUGCAAAGCAACAGACAGUAUUCAACCUAAGUCCAAAAAUGGGAAGCCUCUCAGGAAGGUUUCCUAGCUUGAGUUCCAACUAGCAGAAACCCCAGGAUUGCAACCACAUAAUGAAAAGUUGAUGGUGUAUCUUUUCCUAAACAUUCCAUAUCCAUCACAUCUUGAAUGGCACUGGCUUAUGCAAUUUUUUCUCCAACGUUGAGCUGUUUCAUUAUCUUUUUGUGUUCACAACUUAAUACCUUGCGUUAAAGAAAGGUUUUAAAAAUAAAAUAUUUUGAGAUGUUAAAGUUGUGGAUUUUUGUUUGUUUGUGUUUGUUUUAAGGCAAAGUCUUAUUCUGUCACCUAGGAUGGAGUGCAGUGGUACGAUUACAGCUCACUGCCGCCUCAACCUCCUGGGCUCAAGCAAUCUUCUAGUCUCCGUC
rnacentral:lncRNA from 1 species